rnacentral:rRNA from 1 species
GACGAACGCUGGCGGCGCGCCUAACACAUGCAAGUCGAACGAGCGAGAGAGAGCUUGCUUUCUCAAGCGAGUGGCGAACGGGUGAGUAACGCGUGAGGAACCUGCCUCAAAGAGGGGGACAACAGUUGGAAACGACUGCUAAUACCGCAUAAGCCCACAGGUCGGCAUCGACCAGAGGGAAAAGGAGCAAUCCGCUUUGAGAUGGCCUCGCGUCCGAUUAGCUAGUUGGUGAGGUAACGGCCCACCAAGGCAACGAUCGGUAGCCGGACUGAGAGGUUGAACGGCCACAUUGGGACUGAGACACGGCCCAGACUCCUACGGGAGGCAGCAGUGGGGAAUAUUGCACCAUGGGGGAAACCCUGAUGCAGCGACGCCGCGUGGAGGAAGAAGGUCUUCGGAUUGUAAACUCCUGUUGUUGAGGAAGAUAAUGACGGUACUCAACAAGGAAGUGACGGCUAACUACGUG